rnacentral:lncRNA from 1 species
CUUUCGGCCUUCGCGGUGGCGGCGGCGGCGCCCAAUCUUCGCCGCUUCCGCGGCGCGCCGGGAUUACGCUGCGGAGUGAGUUUGCGGGGCGGGCAGGCCAGCUCCCGCCCUUUUCGGUCGGCCCUCGCUCCGCGGCAGGGGUGUGGCUUCCUGGCCACUCCCCCGUGGCUCCACCUCUGUGCCCCUGAUUUCUCUAGCUGUCCAGCCAGUUGAGGUUGGCUCUCUUAGCAGAGCAUCCCUUGAGGUGAUAGGCGCAACCUGGGUCAACCUGCCGUUGUCGGAGGGAGCUAGAGGGGCGAGAGACUCAGAGACAGCAUUGCAGGGAACCAGCCGCUCCCAGUGCCUAUCUCCCCCGCGAGUGGCCUUAUUCUUUUAGCUUGUAAUGUAGAUGCUUGCUGGCCUGGUUCCCAUCUCUGGUCCUUGCAUGUUGUGUGACCUUGGGCAAGUCUCUUCCCCCACUCCCGGGGAGGGCUUCAGUUUUUCUAUUAAACCUCAAUUUUUGUAAUUUUGCAGAAGACCUUAGGCAAUUUUAAGACCAGCUAGGUUUCUAAGACCGCUUAACGGAGAUGACCCGGAAUUGACUAGACUUUUCUCAAAUCAUGGGUGAAAUACAGAAAUGUAAUUAUUGGGUUCUUUGUAAUCUUUAGCAUUGCUUAUAAAUUGCAGGACUCAAUCUUUGUUUCAUUUUGCUGAAAUUCCCACGGGGCGGUUGACCUGGUUCUGGGACAUCUUUUGAAAAUGUGAGACUGAGUGAGCUUGAGGUAACUGUCUCUGUCUCUUUGCUACUGAGGCUUUCUUUCCUUUAAUCCAGAUGGUGUGGUGGCUCGAUUCUCCCAGUGCCUGGCUGAGUUUCGGACGUGGUUAAGAACCAACUGGUUGAGGUUCAAUGCAGACAAGACGGAUGUGAUGCUGGUAGGCAAGGGCACGACUGGAGAUGAAGGGAGGGCAAAGGCAAGCUCCCUCAUGUAAUAAAAACAUGAUUAUUGUCUG